GAUGAACGCUGGCGGCGUGCCUAAUACAUGCAAGUCGAGCGAACAGACGAGGAGCUUGCUCCUCUGACGUUAGCGGCGGACGGGUGAGUAACACGUGGAUAACCUACCUAUAAGACUGGGAUAACUUCGGGAAACCGGAGCUAAUACCGGAUAAUAUAUUGAACCGCAUGGUUCAAUAGUGAAAGACGGUUUUGCUGUCACUUAUAGAUGGAUCCGCGCCGCAUUAGCUAGUUGGUAAGGUAACGGCUUACCAAGGCAACGAUGCGUAGCCGAGCUGAGAGGGUGAUCGGCCACACAGGAACUGAGACACGGUCCAGACUCCUACGGGAGGCAGCAGUAGGGAAUCUUCCGAAAUGGGCGAAAGCCUGACGGAGCAACGCCGCGUGAGUGAUGAAGGUCUUCGGAUCGUAAAACUCUGUUAUUAGGGAAGAACAAAUGUGUAAGUAACUAUGCACGUCUUGACGGUACCUAAUAAGAAAGCCACGGCUAACUACGU
rnacentral:rRNA from 1 species